UGGGGAAUUUUGCGCAAUGGGCGAAAGCCUGACGCAGCGACGCCGCGUGUGCGAUGAAGGCCCUUGGGUCGUAAAGCACUGUCGGUCGGGACGAAAACUAACGGACUAAUACUUCGUUAGCUUGACGGUACCGGCAAAGGAAGCACCGGCUAACUCUGUGCCAGCAGCCGCGGUAAUACAGAGGGUGCAAACGUUGCUCGGAAUUAUUGGGCGUAAAGGGCGCGUAGGUGGCUGGGUAAGUGUGCGGUGAAAGCCCGGGGCUCAACCCCGGGUCUGCCGUGCAGACUGCUUGGCUCGAGCAUAGUAGAGGCGAGUGGAAUUCCGGGUGUAGCGGUGGAAUGCGUAGAGAUCCGGAAGAACACCGGUGGCGAAGGCGGCUCGCUGGGCUAUUCCUGACACUGAGGCGCGACAGCGUGGGGAGCAAACAGGAUUAGAUACC
rnacentral:rRNA from 1 species